UACGGGGGGAGCAAGCGUUGUUCGGAUUUACUGGGCGUAAAGGGCGCGUAGGCGGACAGCACAAGUCAGUUGUGAAAUCUCCGGGCUUAACUCGGAAAGGUCAACUGAUACUGUGCGGCUAGAGUGCAGAAGGGGCAACUGGAAUUCUCGGUGUAGCGGUGAAAUGCGUAGAUAUCGAGAGGAACACCUGCGGCGAAGGCGGGUUGCUGGGCCGACACUGACGCUGAUGCGCGAAAGCCAGGGGAGCGAACGGG
rnacentral:rRNA from 1 species